AUGCCUCCAGCGGUCCAACACACGGUGUGCACUGCUGAAAAUGCUAAGGAAAACUUCGCUCUAACGAAUCACGAAUUUGUACCAGCCUUUUCAGUGGCCCAAGCUAGAAAUGUUGACAAAUUCAAACUGAUCUGCAUCUUCCCACAGCACUUAUGCCACAUUGCGAUAUCAAGAACAGACGAUAGAGCAAACAAUUUGGAAAAAUCAGAGAGAUUUCUGAGUUGUUUUUCCUUGGCAGCAGAGAUGUACAUCGACGCCAUUAGUAAAGAAAACAUCGAUCACUGUUACAGCAAAGCUUAA
rnacentral:rRNA from 1 species